rnacentral:tRNA from 1 species
AGCUCGUUGGUGUAAUGGUAACAUUCCCGGCGUGGAAAAUUCCGCGUCUGCAUACGUGCCGCAGGAAGACAACGGUUCGAGUCCGUUACGGGGCCA